rnacentral:snRNA from 1 species
GGAAAUGAGCAUGACACGCAAAAUUUGUCACCCAAUGUAUUGCCAGGUUUUCUGAAACAGAUCAUACUGGAUAGGUUUGUGUCCCCUUUGUCUUUCACUGCUCCAUAUAUAUUUGUUCCAAAGCUGUGUGCUGGGUUUAAGAGGAUGACCUUCCCUAACACAGGAGAACUGCUCUUUGACCAUGGGUGUAAGAGUAGCAGCAUGNUCACCUCUGAAAACUCCAAACAAGCUCCAAUGUCAUAACCAAAGAAAUCAUGAUGAAAGCAUCUACUUCCAAUGGAACUGGCUAUGUACAUU